rnacentral:rRNA from 1 species
UGGGGAAUUUUGGACAAUGGGGGCAACCCUGAUCCAGCAAUGCCGCGUGUGUGAAGAAGGCCUUCGGGUUGUAAAGCACUUUUGUCCGGGAAGAAAUCGCACCUGAUAAUACCGGGUGUGGAUGACGGUACCGGAAGAAUAAGGACCGGCUAACUACGUGCCAGCAGCCGCGGUAAUACGUAGGGUCCAAGCGUUAAUCGGAAUUACUGGGCGUAAAGCGUGCGCAGGCGGUUGUGCAAGACCGAUGUGAAAUCCCCGGGCUUAACCUGGGAAUUGCAUUGGUGACUGCACGGCUAGAGUGUGUCAGAGGGGGGUAGAAUUCCACGUGUAGCAGUGAAAUGCGUAGAGAUGUGGAGGAAUACCGAUGGCGAAGGCAGCCCCCUGGGAUAACACUGACGCUCAUGCACGAAGGCGUGGGGAGCAAACAGG